CCGAGUGAGGGUCCUUUAAGGGCCUAACCUCCCACCCGUGUUUACUUAUACCAUGUUGCUUCGGUGGGCCCACUGGGGCGUUGUCCCUGGUCGCUGGGGGGGAGAGAAACCCCCCGGGCCCGUGCCCGCCGGAGACCCCACAAACUCUGUCUGAAUUGGUUCGUCUGAGUGAUAAAGAUAAUUAUUA
rnacentral:misc_RNA from 1 species